ACAGCAGCCGCCGCGGGAAUACGUAGGUGGCAAGCGUUGUCCGGAAUUAUUGGGCGUAAAGGGCUCGCAGGCGGUUUCUUAAGUCUGAUGUGAAAGCCCCCGGCUCAACCGGGGAGGGUCAUUGGAAACUGGGAAACUUGAGUACAGAAGAGGAGAGUGGAAUUCCACGCGUAGCGGUGAAAUGCGUAGAGAUGUGGAGGAACACCAGUGGCGAAGGCGGCUCUCUGGUCUGUAACUGACGCUGAGGAGCGAAAGCGUGGGGAGCGAACAGGAUUAGAUACCCGUGUAGUCCCUGUCUUUUAUAC
rnacentral:rRNA from 1 species